CCAGGAUGACUUCUGAAAAUCCAGGACUGUCCCUGGAAAAUAGGGGCACUUGGAGGGUCUUGCCUUCCCAUUCUGAAGGAGGAGCCAGAGUGGUCCAGCUUUAGUGGGGAGGCUGUUGUCAAGGCAACCAUGACUCACCCAGCCCAGCCUAUGUGACAUCACUCACUGCUGGCUUCUAGGGACCAACUGCAACUGAUCAGCAGUUGGCAGUGAGGAGCAGGAGUGAAAGAGUUGGCGGUGAGUUUGAAGUCCUGGCCCCCAAGGCAAUGAUCAGGUCCAUUGCUGCGGCCCUCCUCUGCCUCAUCCGGACUUCCCAGAGCUUCAAGAGGCUGUGAGAGCUGCUGCAAGAGGAACAAGGUCCACCCCAUGGUCUCAAAGGAAGAUCCUUGUGGGUCGUCCAGGAGGUGGAAACAGGCAAGUCUGGGGCUCCAGGUGAGCAAUUGUUCUGUUGCUGAGAGGAAGAUGAUUGCGAGGCCUGUAAGACUCUGAUGAUAAUGGAGUCCGGAGGAGACUGACCUCUGCUUGGAGGAGACUUGGAGGAAGGCAGAGGUGGUUAAUUUGUAUUUUACUUUAUUUUUGACCUUUUUCCUUUGUUUCACCUGCAGAGUUGCCAGCCCAGGGCCCACCGUUGGAGCUCCACUCUUUGAGGAGGUUCACGGUGGAGCCCUUGGGAAGAUGAUCUUCAUGUGGCCGGGCGAACUUGGGAAGGGUACCUCAGCCUCCACCAUCUUUGGCAUUUAAAGCCGAGCUCUGGGAGGCAGUGGGGGGGCAGUCCUUGGAUAGGACAUGCCAGCAUGCCCCCCAAAGGCACCCUGGGGGCCGGAGAGACCGCCUCUGGUGCCCACAGGUUCACCUUUCGCCCCCACCGAAAUCAGGCUUGAAAUGAACAUCUUUUGGUAGCCAACAGAA